rnacentral:rRNA from 1 species
AGGCGCGAAAACUCUACAAUGCAGGCAACUGCGAUAGGGGAACAUCGAGUGGCAUCUACAUUAGGUGUCUGUCCAGCUGUCUAAAAAACGGCUGUUAGCAAGGGCCGGGCAAGACCGGUGCCAGCCGCCGCGGUAAUACCGGCGGCUCGAGUGGUGGCCGAUAUUAUUGAGUCUAAAGGGUCCGUAGCCGGCUUUGCAAGUCUUGUGGGAAAUCCAGCGGCUUAACCGUUGGGCGUCUGCGGGAUACUUACAUUGC